AAAUUGAAGAGUUUGAUCAUGGCUCAGAUUGAACGCUGGCGGCAGGCCUAACACAUGCAAGUCGAGCGGAAACGAGUUAUCUGAACCUUCGGGGGACGAUAACGGCGUCGAGCGGCGGACGGGUGAGUAAUGCCUAGGAAAUUGCCCUGAUGUGGGGGAUAACCAUUGGAAACGAUGGCUAAUACCGCAUGAUGCCUACGGGCCAAAGAGGGGGACCUUCGGGCCUCUCGCGUCAGGAUAUGCCUAGGUGGGAUUAGCUAGUUGGUGAGGUAAGGGCUCACCAAGGCGACGAUCCCUAGCUGGUCUGAGAGGAUGAUCAGCCACACUGGAACUGAGACACGGUCCAGACUCCUACGGGAGGCAGCAGUGGGGAAUAUUGCACAAUGGGCGCAAGCCUGAUGCAGCCAUGCCGCGUGUGUGAAGAAGGCCUUCGGGUUGUAAAGCACUUUCAGUCGUGAGGAAGGUAGUGUAGUUAAUAGCUGCAUUAUUUGACGUUAGCGACAGAAGAAGCACCGGCUAACUCCGUGCCAGCAGCCGCGGUAAUACGGAGGGUGCGAGCGUUAAUCGGAAUUACUGGGCGUAAAGCGCAUGCAGGUGGUUUGUUAAGUCAGAUGUGAAAGCCCGGGGCUCAACCUCGGAAUUGCAUUUGAAACUGGCAGACUAGAGUACUGUAGAGGGGGUAGAAUUUCAGGUGUAGCGGUGAAAUGCGUAGAGAUCUGAAGGAAUACCGGUGGCGAAGGCGGCCCCCUGGACAGAUACUGACACUCAGAUGCGAAAGCGUGGGGAGCAAACAGGAUUAGAUACCCUGGUAGUCCACGCCGUAAACGAUGUCUACUUGGAGGUUGUGGCCUUGAGCCGUGGCUUUCGGAGCUAACGCGUUAAGUAGACCGCCUGGGGAGUACGGUCGCAAGAUUAAAACUCAAAUGAAUUGACGGGGGCCCGCACAAGCGGUGGAGCAUGUGGUUUAAUUCGAUGCAACGCGAAGAACCUUACCUACUCUUGACAUCCAGAGAACUUUCCAGAGAUGGAUUGGUGCCUUCGGGAACUCUGAGACAGGUGCUGCAUGGCUGUCGUCAGCUCGUGUUGUGAAAUGUUGGGUUAAGUCCCGCAACGAGCGCAACCCUUAUCCUUGUUUGCCAGCGAGUAAUGUCGGGAACUCCAGGGAGACUGCCGGUGAUAAACCGGAGGAAGGUGGGGACGACGUCAAGUCAUCAUGGCCCUUACGAGUAGGGCUACACACGUGCUACAAUGGCGCAUACAGAGGGCGGCCAACUUGCGAAAGUGAGCGAAUCCCAAAAAGUGCGUCGUAGUCCGGAUUGGAGUCUGCAACUCGACUCCAUGAAGUCGGAAUCGCUAGUAAUCGUGGAUCAGAAUGCCACGGUGAAUACGUUCCCGGGCCUUGUACACACCGCCCGUCACACCAUGGGAGUGGGCUGCAAAAGAAGUAGGUAGUUUAACCUUCGGGGGGACGCUUACCACUUUGUGGUUCAUGACUGGGGUGAAGUCGUAACAAGGUAGCGCUAGGGGAACCUGGCGCUGGAUCACCUCCUUA
rnacentral:rRNA from 1 species